CAAAGAGAGAGGAAAGAACUCUGCACCCACCAUCUGGGAUUAAAGAGUUGGUUGAGUCAAGGAGGAAGCCCAGGGACCCUCUAGGAAGUAGGGAAGUCUGGGAAUAGGCCAGGCGUGACAUGGAGGAGCUACUGUGGGGGAUAAGGCCCUGGUGGUGAACCCUGACAAAAGGGGCAGGAUCUGGACAUCCAGGGAGUUCACCUGAGGAACUGUGUAAAGAAAACUUAAGAGGGAUGACAGGUCACAUUUUCUCCAGUAAAUAGCACCCCAGGGUCCUUGAUUAAACACGAGUAAUUUGGCAUUCAGACCACACAGCAGCACUCCCUCUUAGAGGAUCAGGCUAACCUGCACUCCCUGCCCUGCUCAUCACAUUCUACCUUGCAUUUUAGUGUGCCAGGGACCUACUAGAUAAACAAGCGUAACAAGCCUCACGCAAACAAGAAGGGAAACCACGUGGGCACAAGGAUCAGGGUUUUAUUUAUUGUAAGUCCCAUUGUAGGAUGGGCGCUUCACAGACUGUACACAGAACCCUGUCAAAUAUACAAUAUAAACCAACUGAGGCCUCAUUUAAACAACAAGCUACUUACAGGCAGAUCCUGGUAUCCAGGUAGAGCUCAUUGUAGAUUGGAGCCUGAGAAGGAAAACCAAUUUUUUUCUGUAAUCUCUUUCAGUCUAAGAAUCGUGGCUAUUACAAAUAACAAUAGUAAAUUAAAUGCUUUCAGAUUAAUAUGUAAGUAAGUUGUCUCUGUCUCAUAAAGGAAAAAUGUUUGUUUUUUGCUAGUUUGUUACAAUGUUAAUGUCUGUCAUUUGAAUUAUUGAGACACGGGGUUCUGUGGUAUAUUUUCCAUUUUCCCUCUGCUUGGCCAUUAUCUGUGUUUGGAUCAUAUCCUUUGAAUUAAAAAGCAAGCUGUGCUCUUUGCUUUGUUGCACAAUCACCAUUCAUUUUUACUGAUUAUGGUCAAAAAGCAACAUUCUAACACUAUAAUGGCCUGUCACUUCUUUCGCCCCCACCCAAAAAGAGAGAUUCCCACCUUUGAUGGGUGAGCUACCUCUAAUAAAAUAAGAACUAAUAAUUUUUGCCCAUUUCUCAAA